UUUAGAGUACCUGGCUCACGGAUGAACGCUGGCGGCGUGCUUAACACAUGCAAGUCGAGCGAAGCACUUGUCUUGAAGUUUUCGGAUGGAGAGACAUUUGACUGAGCGGCGGACGGGUGAGUAACGCGUGGGGAACCUGCCUCAUACAGGGGAAUAACAGUUAGAAAUGACUGCUAAUGCCGCAUAAGCGCACACUGUGGCAUCACAGGGUGUGAAAAACUCCGGUGGUAUGAGAUGGCCCCCGCGUCUGAUUAGGCAGUUGGCGGGGUAACGGCCCACCAAACCGACGAUCAGUAGCCGACCUGAGAGGGUGACCGGCCACAUUGGGACUGAGACACGGCCCAAACUCCUACGGGAGGCAGCAGUGGGGGAAUAUUGCACAAUGGGGGAAACCCUGAUGCAGCGACGCCGCGUGGGUGACGAAGUAUUUCGGUAUGUAAAGCCCUAUCAGCAGGGAAGAAGAUGACAGUACCUGACCAAGAAGCCCCGGCUAACUACGUG
rnacentral:rRNA from 1 species